rnacentral:rRNA from 1 species
CCUACGGGAGGCAGUAGUGAGGAAUAUUGGUCAAUGGGCGUAAGCCUGAACCAGCCAAGUCGCGUGAGGGAUGACGGUCCUAUGGAUUGUAAACCUCUUUUAUCAGGGAAUAAAGUGAGGGACGUGUCCCGUUUUGUAUGUACCUUAUGAAUAAGGAUCGGCUAACUCCGUGCCAGCAGCCGCGGUAAUACGGAGGAUCCGAGCGUUAUCCGGAUUUAUUGGGUUUAAAGGGUGCGUAGGCGGCUUUUGAAGUCAGCGGUGAAAGUCUGUGGCUCAACCCUAGAAUUGCCGUUGAAACUGGGAGGCUUGAGUAUGUUUGAGGUAGGCGGAAUGCGUGGUGUAGCGGUGAAAUGCUUAGAUAUCACGCAGAACCCCGAUUGCGAAGGCAGCCUACCAAGCCAUGACUGACGCUGAUGCACGAAAGCGUGGGGAUCAAACAGGAUUAGAUACCCGAGUAGUC